rnacentral:rRNA from 1 species
CGCUCUCUGAAGAUUUUUAUUAAUAAAUUAAUCAAAUACUUCUAUAGAGAGUCGGACCUGCCCGGUGACUAAUAUGUUAAACGGCCGCGGUACCCUGACCGUGCAAAGGUAGCAUAAUCAUUUGCCUUUUAAUUGGAGGCUGGUAUGAAUGGUUUGACGAGAGCUAAGCUGUCUCUUUUUAAAUAUAUAUAAAUUAAUUUUUAGGUGAAGAAGCCUAAAUUUAAUUGAGGGACAAGAAGACCCCGUUGAGCUUUAGUGAUUUAGUAGAUAUAUUUAUAGUGUAUUGAGAUUAUUUAUAUUUUGUUACAUUUUAAUGAAAACGUUAUUUACUAAUAUAUCUUUAGUUGGGGCGACUGAGGAACAAAUAAAGCUUCCUUUAUUAAUGAAAUGAUUUGUUUAUGAAAGCAGUUUAUCUAUGAUGAUCCAGUAUUUACUGAUUAAAGGAAUAAGUUACCACGGGGAUAACAGCGUAAUCUUUCUAGAGAGUUCUUAUCGAAAGGAGGGUUUGCGACCUCGAUGUUGGACUAAGAUAUCCUAGAAAUGCAGAAGUUUCUAAAGGUUAGUCUGUUCGACUAUUAAAAUCUU